CUACGAUAUCCUUCUUCUCCUCCGUGACUCCAUCCACCUCUCCAGUCACGAUGAACUUUGCCAUUCGUACCCACGGUUCGCGGAUGGCCACCUGGAUCGUUGAAAGUGGAAGGAGUCAAAAGAAUCAAUCUCAGGCAGCCUUCUUCACCGCCACGGUGAUGGUGGUGGUGUUGGUGUUGUUGUUGGUAGUUAUCAUCAUAGCCGCGCGGCCGGCGUGUGUUGUUGCUCCGCCCACCACCUCAUCCCAUGCCUGUCGCCGUCCUGCCGUCCGCCGGGAACGGGGAUGGCAUUUGUGGCAAGGUGGUCGGGCGCUCGCCACUGUCGCUGCUGCUGGCAGUUCCGGGGGCCGAAUUCGACCGGCGCUACGCGGACGCCACAGGGUCCACGCCCACAUGCCCGUCAUGCUGGGCGAGGUGCUCGACGUCUUCCGCCGCUUCCACCUCUGCUCCGUCGUCGACUGCACCCUUGGCGCUGCAUGCCGCUUCUUUUCAUCAUCGUAGCCGGCUAUCUCAUCAUCGUAGCCGUGCUGUUCAAUAUAUUUCCCAACGGACUAUAGAGGCGCAUAGAGAACUGGAGCUCCAUGUCGGUUUGGAUGUGCAUCCUGUCGCCCAUGACUAGGCUUGAGCUCGGAUCGAAGACAAAUGAUGAUUCUCCCGGCGGCAGCUUGAAAGCAUACACCCACGUCCGGAAUUUCAACUACAAGAAGUCCGUGCUCGGGGGCAUCAAUGAGAACCGGCCUGGACGGUGUAGUAGAAGGAGAUGCAAUCCAUGCAGGUAUUUUAUUUUUUAUUUUUAUUUUUUUUGAUACAACAGCGCGUCACAAAAACACAAUGUAUGUGGGUGCAGCCUAUAAGGUCUGAAAGGAUAAGGAGGUGAAUGAUGGAACUAAAGUGGGGUUAUCUCAAAUAAAACUUUCGAAAUGCUAAGCGUCACUUAGUCAGUCACACUGUUUGCACUGUUUGCCUCUGCAGGCAUGAGUAGCCUAAUGAGAAAUACGCUCAUUUAAAAAUAGUCAGAUGCCAUGAAUCACCCACAUCCCGCCGGCUGCAGGUAUAAUCCUUCCUCGUCACAAAAAAGCACGUACAGCCCGUUGGCGUGGGGGGUUGGUAUUGGGGUUUUUAGGAGUCGUUCUACUUGUAUCGUAUUGCUAGGACCAGGAGGGCAUGGUUGAUUUUUCGCUUCUCUCCUGUUUGAGAGAUUGCCGCCGUAAAUCAAAUGCCGCGCGUCCCCUGUAUGGAGCAGGUGAACCAUUCCGACAGGGGAGGGAGGGUGCUUGGCGUGGGCCUCUGGAUAUUGGAUGAACCCUCUGCCCUUGGAGAAGCAUUGACCGAUGAAGCUGUGGAUAUGUUUUUGGGAUCCAGUCAAUAAGAUUAAGCUCUCUCUUCUUUGCUACUUGCGCGAGUGGGUUUUGCAUGGCUUGUGCCACCAUUUAAAUCCGUGGCCUUGGAUAUUGCUGUAAUACUUUUCUGUGCUUAUAACAUGCUAAUUUCAUUAGAUGGCUAAAUAGUGUUUGCCUUCUUCUUUUUCAUUGAAUUGAUGUACUACUGAUUGUAUAGUCAUCUUAUCUGUAAUCGGAUUGAUUUUUCCAUUAGUCUCGAAUGAAGAUAACCUCCCAGUUCUCAUCUAAGCUUUUGUGAUAUAGAAAGAUUUUGUAAUGUUUGACCGAUUGGAGCAGGAUAUUAUGCCGGGCGACCUUGAAAGCUUAGGGCAUCUUGAAUUCUUGGCCUGAUUAAGUGGGACGGAUAUUGCGUGAUUGUGGAGAAGAAAGCAACUGGCCUUUACUUCGAAAACAAAUUGCGGAUGCUCGCGCAAAUGGGUGAUUGCAUUCUCCAGGUCAUCUAGAAGAUUUCGUGAGAAGUACAUCAGCCAGGUCAGGAGGAUUCGGACCGAGGUCGGAGCGCUACUUGGAUGAUUCUGGGUCAGCUGGAGUCGAGCUGAGCAGGCUGGUUGAGGCAUCGGGUGCCAGUCUUCUUCGUUGGUGGCCUGUAAGAAGUUCUCUUGUUGGAAAGUUUAUUUGGUGAAAAAAAGGUAGCAUCGAAAUAGUAUUUCAUCACUAAAACUGUUAAGUAAGAGAUAUUUUACAACAUGCAUUUUAUUUCACUCUCUUAAGGCAAUUACUAGUGACAAAUUGUACUUCAUAGAAAAAUGUUUUAAUGCUGAUUGAGUGCUUUGCUGUAGUGCCUAGACCCUAAACCCCAAAUCCUCAACUCUAAACCAUUAACAGUAAACCAUAUAUCCUAAACCUUAAAUCCCAAAUCCUAAAAUCCUAAAACCAUAAAUC